UUGUUGGUUAUGAAGAAACACAUACUCAUGAAUACAUUUCACAUAAGAAUCGGGUAAAUGCUUAAGUUAAAGCUAGUAUUCCAAACUAAUUAUCCUCGGAAGACUUUGCAUAUUAAUAGGACCUUAUCAUUAACCUUCAACGCUACACCAUAGUGAUAGUAAAUUUCCUAAGAUCCAAAAGAUUUUUCAAGGGAUAAUUUUAAUUUUUUCUCAAUGCAUAUCAAAGGGCUCAAAUGAUCAGGAAAACAUUAUUUCUUUAAACUUUUUUUUUGCUAUCCCUUAGUGAUGGUUAAGAUACCUAUUAUAUCCAAAACAUGAAACUCUCAGCACAAAGUGGUCACUUAACCAUCAAAGUUAUUUAUAAACUUAACAAAUUCACCAAAUUCCACUUAGAAUGGCGAAUAGAGUUCGCCACGAACGCUAGAAUUUAGCUGGAAACAUAAAACCCAACAAAUCCAAAAUGACGUAAUUGAUAAGAAUUUAUGAAGGUAAUCUUCUCAAGUAUGAAUAAAAAAAGAGAAAAACCCAAACAACAAAUAAAUAAGUCGAGAGGGAUGGAGUUAAGAUAAAAUAAGUGAAUAAGUAAACCAAUAUUUAAGCUUUGGAAUGCCCAUGAUAUGAUCAAACGACUAUAGAGAAUUAACAUAAAUGUUUUAAUCCUCUGGAAAUUAAUCAAAGAGACCACGACCAGAUAUUAAAUUGGGCAAUUUGACAACUAAAAGAACUGUAUGAAGUUAAACCAAUUCUAUCCAAUGUUUACAAUGAAAAGUGAUUUUAUUAAACUAACCCAAGUAUACUAAUGUACGUAAGAUUUCCAAACCGACUGUUUUAAGAAAGAGCUUGCGUCGACUCUUUAUAAACAACAUCAAAAGUUUGGCACCUUAUAUGAAAGAACGUCCCGACAAUAAUGAGAACAUGACGACUUUAAACUCGAUUUACCAAACUAAAAAGGGGCUAAGACGACUAUUAAUUCUAGAAAAAUUGCAAGCAUCGAGGGAUCACAUAUUCACCUCUAGUCCUUGUCAAAUUUGACACUUCAAAUCAAAUUUGACUUAGGAACUCAAGCAAAGUUGGCCAGCAGACUCUUGGAUUUUUUUACUUGGUGACAUGAAUUUAACAGAUCCUAAACAGAGAUGAUCAAUGGAGGUUUGAGAAGAUAAUAUUCAUACAACUUGGAGCAUAGAUUUUAAAGCCAAACAAACAAAAGUUAGGAGCUAAACUGCAUGAUGGAUGAGCACAAAGUCAUAACUUAAUCGCAUGUGUUCGUAACCCGUAAGUGAAACACGAUGGACUGUGAACGGACAUGAGUGAAAUGACUGAUUCAAGGUGUCUUAGCGAUUAAAAAACUGAAUUACGAGUAUCCCAGGUAAGAAAGCAAGACACCUGUGAUCACUGACUUUAGCGAAAUUGAUUUCUUAGAAAAUAGUAAUGACAGUUGAACAUUAAAAAGAGAAUUUACACUCUCUGAGAAAUUUAAACACGAUGUAUCAUCCUAUGAGUUGAAAAGAAAUGGGUGAGACACUUCUCUUGUGCAAAUUCCAAAAUCGAGGCUCAGGCAAUCUUUCGGAAGUUAAGACAUCCAACUUGUUUAUCUUAGCUCUAGAGCUCAAACUAGACUAAUUAUUUAAGCUAAUUACUUAUACUAAAAGAAAACAAAUUGGGACAUGCUUAGCCAGAGAAAAAGAUAUUCAAACUAGUUAAAAAAUAACUAUCUUUACAUUGAGUUGUCAAGCCUCGCUAAUCAUUCUUAAUGCCCAAGUUAACAAAAAAAAAGAAAUACUUUCAGAAGUUUAAGGCUUGUACAACCUGUUCUUAUGCUAAGUUAUAAGUUCAAAAUCACUUUUAAAUAAACGUCUAUCUUAAAAUAAUGACAACAAGAUGUCAUGUUCAAGUGUUCAUGCAAAAAGGUACUACAAUUCCGCUACAGACAGUUUGGUAAAGCUUUGACCCUUAAAAAAAUGAGUCAGAUUGUCACUUCAGCAUCGCCUUAACAGGUUUCAAAAUCACAGAAAAAUGAUAGCUCAUGGAUACCAAUAUGAUUCUGUGCAUAACACAGAAGGAAAAGUUUACGUCUAGAUUUUAACAUCUACAUUUACUUGAAAAUAUGUCAACAUGUUUUGUUAUCUUAUAUUUUUUGGAAACAGUUUUCAUGCCUAAUUUAAUGGCUGCGGGGGUCUUGUAACCUCAUGGACGAGUACAGGAAAAAAAAUUAAGAAACCAUUACCAUGUCAAAGUACCCAAACCAACGUUACACUAAAUUUUAAACAAUCAGUUACUCUACAAAUAUGCCUCAGUUUUAUCUAAACCAACUACCAGAAAGCUAUUUUUGCUUCAAGUUGUUGUUUGUAACUUGUCAAAUGAAAGACUAAGAGGGAACUUAGACAAACAACUUGCGCAUUGGGGAACUUAGACAGAUGUACAAGGAUGGGUCCAAACACUAGUUCAUGUGGCAAGCAGGUUAACAGAGUCGAGAACAUACUAAACCAACAUAAUUUUAGGGUGCAGUAAUGGACAAACAAGAUUCUGAUUUUGAUCCUAUUUAAAGGUUGUGACUUAUGCCAGCCACUUAGUACUUAGAGAGACCCUUAUAGGAAACGACAUGUCACACAUUACUGAUGCAAAAUAAUCAUAUUCAGAAAGAAACGAAAUGAGAAUAACACUUAAAAAUUAGAAAUUUGCAAGAGAAAAGAAAAAAAGGAACUUUAGAUCUAAGGUUAGUCCUUCAUAUUCAAGAAGACUUUACUGCUUUGAACUCAUAUGUAAUUAGACAUAUUACACAGAACAUCCCCACAUGAUAAUGCAUUCAAAUAGAGAUGGGUACUUUCGAAAAUAAUUAAAGGAAACAGAGCGAGUCAAAAUUGGGUGUCAACAGUUGCCCCUGAUUGACAAAAGAUUAGUGUGAAAAUCUUUGGACAAUCACGUUGACGUAACCCAUUUUGCCUCGGGCGAAACAAAAUAUUUGGAAGAUUAUGGUUGGGCUCCGAUUUCUGAGCUACCUAUAUAUCUCGGGUAUCAGGAAAAGUCAGGCCAUCUAUAGUUCAAACCAUAGCAAAAUUUUGAUAAAUAUCAAAAUUUACCCAGCGUGGAAUUAUGGUAACACUGGGUUCCCUUGAGGAUGAUAACAAAGAUUUUAGCAUGUAUGAAAUAGAUAUGAGUGCAUUUAUCCUAAAUUGGUUGUUUGAGAUGGCUGGGAAUGUGAGAUCGAUGGAUAGCAACAUCUGCUGAGGAUCUUGAGAGAAAAGGGGAUUAUGAACUUUUAAAAAUUGCUCAGUGUCAGAUCAAGACGACACUGGGCUAUGACGCUAGGAAAAUGAGAUGACUGAGCCGAGUUGAUUUGAGUUGAGUUUCUUCACCGGAAUCUUUGACGUAGCUAGGGAUGCUUGACAUUCCACUAGCUUGCCCUAGUUUGUUGCUAAGAGGGUAGGUCCACGUUGUAUUGCAUGGUCCUGCAAAAUAGGUUAAAAGAGUGAAAAGUACCUGUUGUUCAAAAAUUGUAAUGUAAAGAGUAGAGUUAGAUAUUCAAACUAGUAUUGUGAUAUCUAUUUGUGGAGGCCUCCGACUGGUGAGGCGAUAACUAAAAUGUAAAGAGCCUCCGUCGGCUGAGCAGUUGCUUGAAAGUAAAAGGCUCCGACUGGCGGGGCAAUUGCUUGAAAGUCAGAGCCUAUGUCGGCUGAACAGUUGUUGUAAAAUAAAAGCCAUCCGACUGACGAGCAAUUGAGCCAUCCGACUGGAGAGCAACUGGAGAAUAAGCCAUCCGACUGGUGUGCAGUUGUUGAAAAAAUACACACCAUCCGACUGGUGGGUAGUUAUUGAGAAGUAUGCGAUGUCUGACUGGCGAGCAGUGUUUGAAAAGUAAAGCCUCCGACGGUGAGACAUUUGCCCAAAGGUAAAUUGGCUUGUCUUGGCAAGGCGACCUUUGAUCUGAACCAGAUAAAUUAAAAUGAUGUAGUGACCAGGCCUGACUCGGUCUGCCUAUGCAUCCAAGUGUAAUCAGGUCAGGCCGUAGUUCAGUACAAUGAAAGGGUUAUAAUAUGAAGGGACCAAAUCCCAUAAGGAUUGCCUACGUAUCCCGUCAUGGAAAGUCAGGUCGAGCGUAGUUCUAAAUACAUAAAAGGAUAAUGUUUUUGGGUUUUUCUAAGGGAAACCGAACCCUAUAUGGGUUGCCUAUGUAUCCCACCGUGGGAAGUCAGGCGAAUACGUAGUUCUUUUACAUUAGAGAAAAAUGCAGAAGUACGAAAAAAUAACAAGUCUUAAUGUUUUCAAAUGUAUUACUUCUUGAUGGUGUUUGAAUUGAUCGGCUUCGUGCUUACUGUGUCGUCCAUCUCUGCAAGGAUCACUGCUCCCUCUGAGAGUACUCGAUGAACUAUGUAGGGACCUUGCCAAUUUGAUGCAAAUUUCCCUUUAGUUUCUCCUGGUGAGGAAAUAUCUUCUUCAAUACCAAUUGUCCAGGUGUGAAGGCUUGACUUUCUUGUUGAAUGCCUUGAUCAUUCAAUUUUGAUAGAGUUGACCAUGACACACUGCGUCUAAUAAGCAUCAAUUGUUCCAUUCAGCGUCAUCUAAACCGACCUCUUAGAUGACUCUCAGUGAGGGUAUCUCUACUUCUGCAGGUAUCACUGCCUCUGAACCGUAAAUCAGUAUGUAUAGAGUUUCCCUAGUGGAUGUUCUGAUUAUGGUGCGAUAGCCGAGCAAAGCAUAUGGUAGCUUCUCAUGCCAUUCCCUGUUGCCGUCUACUAUCUUCCUCAAGAUUCUCUUGAUAUUCUUGUUUCAGCUUCAACUGCUCCAUUCAUUUGCGGUCGAUAUGUCGUGGAGUUUCUAUGAGAGAUCUUAAACCUUUCACAAAUCUGUCAUUAGGUCGCUAUUGAGAUUGGCCCCGUUAUCUGUUAUGAUUGACUCUGGGAUUCCAAACCGACAAACUAAGUUAUUGCAGAUGAAAUCUGCUACCACCUUCUUGGUUACGACCUUAUGUGUUGAAGCUUCAACCCAUUUUGUGAAAUAGUCGAUAGCUACCAAGAUAAAAUGUUGUCCAUUGGACGCAGGAGGCUCUAUGAGCCCAAUAACAUCCAUGCCCCAACCAGCAAACGGCCAAGGAGAACCUAUCACAUUAAACGACGAGUACCGUAUAAAAUCCUCAUGAACUUGACAUUGGUGACAUUUCUACACGUAUCGGAUUCUAUCCUUCUCUAUGGUCAUCCAAAAGUAGGUACAAACAAACUCAUUUCGGUACUCGUCGUAACUCUCCAAACGGUUGUAUCUUCUGAAAAGGUAAUCCAACUUUAACUUCCCAUCUUCCACAUUCCUUAGUGAUGAAAAGAUAUCCAAUCCCAACAGACCCAAGAAAUGCAACUUCCUUACAGGUGACGGGAGUACCGGCAACUUCCCUCGAAGUAGUAGCUCAGCGAAGUCACUAACUUCUUCUAGGGUAAGGGUGAUCUCAAAAUCUAGAAACUUGAAGGUCAUAGUGUUCGGCUCCCAAAAUUCCAUCAAUAGCGUAAUGAGGGCUUUAUUAGCUCGAACCCUCAUUAGCGAUAAUAGAGCACCCAAGUGUUCCCGAACCUCCGCACCAUGCGCCACAAAGAUAUUUCUCCACCAGUUCUGCAGGUUAUCAGGGGUAGAGAUGACCAUUUGGAUAUUUGGCAAAUGACCAUUUGAAUAUUUGGCAAAUUUGGGUUAAUAUUCAUCUGAAAGGAAAAGAAAAGGAUAUGGUAAGUCAUUUACCUCAAAUCCAUUAUGUGUUUUAGUUUUGACCGUUCACACCAAUUUUCUCACAAAAAUAUGUCGACAGGUUUGUAACCUUUGACAAAAGGGUGGUUUCCUAAUUGAGAUGACGAUGCCUUGGACCGUCUCGCCUAAGGUGUAUGCGACAUGACCUAUUUAUAGAGUAAGAUUAUUUUCCUAAAUAUUUUAAGAGUGGGACUGAAUAGCUACGAGAAGGCGCAUUAACCUAAUUGUACCGACUCUGAAACUAAAGAAUCCAAAAAAGGUUUGGAGGAGUGUAAGACACCCCCGCAUGAACCACCGUGUGUAAAUUGUGUACGACCAAAGACUCGAUAGGAAAAUGUAAGUGAUAAAGCAGUAACAUGUAGUGUUGUUCAAACAAAUAAGGAACGCAAGUUUGGACUUGCCUUGCGUCCUUUCACCCAAAGCAUGAUAUAAACACAUGUAAAGCAAAUAAUACAAUAAAAGCAUAAAGAUCCUAAACUAAGCGUGUUAAGGUUAAAACCUAAGUUCAUUACAUCACCAGUAGAGUUGCCAUUCUGUCGCACUCUAUUUCAAACCGGUCGAAACAACAUGCAACAUGUGGUGGCGUGUCGUGACUCUCGGGUUUUGAAAAUUCAUUUUAGAGUCGCCACCUAACUUUUUAGGAAAACUAGGAAAAAUCGAUUUCUGUUUUGGCCUAUUGAAAAUAUUUUGAGAUUCUAAUAAAGGUUCUGGUUACUCGAGGGGAAGGUGUUAGGCACCCCUCAGAGCCUAUCUGAAGAUAGUCCUUACGCUUAGUUUAGGAAAAUAUUUGAAAAAAAAAAUUAUUUUGUUAUUUUCUAAACCAGUGAUAAGAAAAACUUUUAUUAUUAUUUUCUAUUUAUCAUUUUAUAUAAAAGAAAGAAAACUUAAGGUAUGACAAACUUGAUGCUAUCACGUACAAGGGAGUAAUAUCAUUAUUGCAAAAAUAAACAUGUAUUCUAGAUGUGAAAAGGGUGAUAUUAUAAUUUACACACAUAUUAAAAAAUGUAAGUCUUAUAAUUUCAAAGAAGGUUAUUUGAAUAUAUGUGAGGUUAAAUACAUCCUUAUAGAGUGAAUAAGGUACUUUCAUGGGUGUGAGAAUUUAUUUGCAAAACUAUACAUAUUUAAGAGCACGCGAAGAAUAUGUGAGAGAUUAUGAGUAGAUUAGAGUAAAACUAAUUGUAAUGUAAACUAUGAUAAAUAAUAAUAACGAUAAUAAUAAUAGCAAUAAUAAUAAUAAUAAUAAUAAUGACGAUGAUAAUAGUAAAGUGAUAAAAAUAGUUGUUACGAAAAUAGUAAAAUAUACCUUGUACGUAGUAGCGAAUGAAAUGUAUAUACCUCGUAUUUCUACCCCUGAAAAUUCGAACAAGUGUUGAAAAUAUAACGUAAAGCAUUCGAAUUAUAAAAAAAAGGUUAGAAUUAGCGAACACCUAAGAAUUUUGUGACCUGCUCUCCCCUGUGAGUUAGUAUUUGAAAUUCUAGUUUGUUAUUUUUUUUUAAGAAAAACAUGGAGAUUGUUACAUCCAUUUUAUUAACAAAUUAUUUUAUUUUUUAAGGUGAGAUAAUCAAUUAAACACUUCAUCAAAUUUUUCUAAAAAAGAAUUUGCUAAUCCUUAAAGAAAGUUUACCUUUGUGAAUUGAUUGACUGAGUGUCGAUCACAAAAAUAUGAUAACGCCAUCCUAUUUAAAGAUUUGAUACGUAACAAAGCUAUUAUAAACAAAUAAAGCUACCUCAAGCAAAUGUUACAACAAAAUAGAGUUAGUUAACAUCCAAAAGAAAGCGUAACAUAAUAUGAGUAAGCUAAAGAAAGAAACGGCUAGGAGUACUAGACUCCAUUUCAGAGUUCAAACUUUUAUCUCGCGCGACUCCGAGGCUCUUGUGAUCCUAGUAGCAUUUGACCCGAUAGUCGGGUCAAAAUGAGUUUCGAUUGAAACUCCAUCUCCAAGAUUAAAUAAAACAAAAAAUAAAAUAAAAUAAAGAUCAGUAACUAAAAUAACAAAAUAAAUAUAAUUUGUCGGUUAUGAAGAAACGCAUACUCAUGAAUACAUUUCACAUAAGAAUCGGGUAAGUGCUUAAGUUAAGCGAGUAUUUCAAACAAAUUUUCCUCGAAAGACUUUGCAUAUUAAUAGAACCUUAUCACUAACCUUCAACGCUACACCAUAGUGAUAAUAAAUUUCCUAAGAUCCAAAAGACUUUUCAAAGGAUAAUUUUAGUUUUUUCUCAAUGCAUAUCAAAGGGCUCAAAUGAUCAGGAAAACAUUAUUUCUUUAAACUUUUUUUUUGCUAUCCCUUAAUGAUGUUAAGAUACCUAUUAUACCCAAAACGUGAAACUCCCAACACAAAGUGGUCACUUAACCAUCAAAGUUAUUUAUUAAAAAAAAAAAAAAAAAAAAAAAAAAAAAAGGGCAGCCCGGUGCACUAAAGCUACCGCUAUGCGCAGUGUCUGGGGAAGGGCCCCACCACAAGGGUGUAUCGAACGCAGCCUUACCUUGCAUUACUGCUAAAGGCUGUUUCCAAGGCUUGAACCUGUGACCUCCCGGUCACAUGGCAGCAACUUUACCAGUUACUCCAAGGCUCCCCUUCAUCAAAGUUAAUUUAUAAACUUAACAAAUUCAUCAAAUUCCACUUAGAAUGGCGAAUAGAGUUAGUCAUGAACCCUAGAAAUUUAGCUGGAAACACAAAAUCCAACAAAUCCAAAAUGGUGUAAUUGAUAAGAAUUUAUGAAGGUAAUCUUCUCAAGUAUGAAAAAAAAAAAAAAAGAAACCCAAACGACAAAUAAAUAAAUCGAGAGGGAUGGAGUUAAGAGAAAAUAAGUGAAUAAGUAAACCAAUAUUUAAGCUUUGGAAUGCCCAUGACAUGAUCAAAUGACUAUAGAGAAUUAACAUAAAUGUUUUAAUCCUCUAGAAAUUAACCAAAGGGACCACGGCCAGAUAUUAAAUUGGGCAAUUUGACAAAAUUGUACCCACGUUGACAACUAAAAAAACUGCAUGAAGUUAAACCAAUUCUAUCCAAUGAUCACAACGAAAAGUGACUUUAUUAAACCAACCCAAGUAUACUAAAUACACGUAAGAUAUCCAAACCAAUUGUUUUAAGGAAAAGCUUGUGUCGACUCUUUAUAAAAAACAUCAAAAGUUUGACACCUUAUAUGAAAGAACAUCCUGCCAAUAAUGAGAACAUGACGACUUUAAACUCAAUUUACCAAACUAAAAAGGGGCUAAGACGACUAUUAAUUUCAGAAAAAAUUGCAAGCAUCGAGUGAUCACAUAUUCACCUCAAGUACUUGUCAAAUUUGACACUUUAAAUCAAAUUUGACUUAGAAACUAAAACAAAGUUGGCCAGCAGACUCUUGGAUUUUUUUUAGUUGGCUACAUGAAUUUAACAGAUCCUAAAUAGAGAUGAUCAAUGGAGGUUUGUGAAGGUGAUAUAUACUUACAACUUGGAGCAUAGAUUUUAAAACAAAACAAACAAAAGUUAGGAGCUAAACUGCAUGAUGGAUGAGCCAAAGUCAUAACUUAAUCGCAUGUGUUCGUAACCCGUAAGUGAAACACCAUAGACUGCGAAAGGGCAUGAGUGAAAUGACUGAUUCAAGGUGUCUUAGCGAUUGAAAAACUGAACUAUGAGUAUCAUAGGUAAGAAAGCAAGACACCUCUGAUCACUGACUUACCGAAAUUGAUUUUUUAGAAAAGAGUAAUGACAUUUGAACAUUAAAAAGAGAAUUUACACACUCCCUGAGAAAUUUAAACACGAUGUAUCAUCCUAUGAGGUGAAAAGAAAUGGGAGAGACACUUCUCUUGUGCAAAAUCCAAAAUCGAGGCUUAAGCAAUCUUUAGGAAGUAAAGACUUCCAACUCGUUUAUCUUAGUUCUAGAGCUCAAACUAGCGUCCUUAUUUAAGCUAAUUACUUACACUAAAAGAAAACAAACUGGGACAUGCUUAGCUAGAGAAAAAGAUAUUCAAACUAGUUAAAAAAUAACUAUCUUUACAUUGAGUUGUCAAGCCUCGCUAAUCAUUCUUAAUGCCCAAGUUAACAAAAAAAAAAGAAAUACUUUCAGAAGUUUAAGGCUUGUAUAACCCGUUCUUAUGCUAAGUUAUAAGUUCAAAAUCACAUUUAAGUAAACGUCUAUCCUAAAUAAAUGACAACAAGAUGUCAUGUUCUACAAUUCCGCUACAGAUAGUUUGGUAAAGCUUUGACCCUUAAAAAAAUGAGUCAGAUUGUCACUUCAGCAUCGCCUUAACAGGUUUCAAAAUCACAGAAAAAUGAUAGCUCAUGGAUACCAAUAUGAUUCUGUGCAUAACACAGAAGGAAAAGUGUACGUCUAGAUUUUAACACCUACAUUUACUUGAAAAUAUGUCAACAUGUUGUGUUAUCCUAUAUUUUUUGGAAACUAUUUUCAUGCCUAAUUUAAUGGCUACGGGGGUCUUGUAACCUCACAGACGAGUCCAGGAAAAAAAAUUAAGAAACCAUUACCAUGUCAAAAAACCAACGUCACACUAAAAUUUAAACAAUCAGUUACUCUACAAAUAUGCCUCAGUUUAAUCUAAAC
rnacentral:lncRNA from 1 species